ACUAACAAGGAUUCCCCUAGUAACGGCGAGUGAAGAGGGAAGAGCCCAAGAUUGAAAGCUGGCGUCUUCGGCGUCCGCAUUGUAAUCUCAAGAAGUGUUUUCCGCUUCGGACCAUGCCUAAGUCCCUUGGAAAAGGGCAUCAUAGAGGGUGAUAAUCCCGUACAUGGCAUGGAGCGCCCGAAGCUUUGUGAUACGCUUUCUAAGAGUCGAGUUGUUUGGGAAUGCAGCUCAAAAUGGGUGGUAAAUGCCAUCUAAGGCUAAAUAUUGGGGAGAGACCGAUAGCGAACAAGUACAGUGAUGGAAAGAUGAAAAGAACUUUGAAAAGAGAGUUAAACAGUACGUGAAAUUGCCAAAAGGGAAGGGUAGGAGGUCAGAGAUGCGGCCUGGGAUUCAGCCUUGCUUUUGCUUGGUGUUUUUCCCAGAUUGCAGGCCAACGUCGGUUUUGGGCACUGGAGAAGGGUAGGAGGAACGUGGCACCUCUCGGGGUGUGUUAUAGCCUCCUACUGGAUACAGCGACCGAGACCGAGGACAGCAGCGUAC
rnacentral:rRNA from 1 species